GCUAACUCCGUGCCAGCAGCCGCGGUAAUACGGAGGGUGCGAGCGUUAAUCGGAAUUACUGGGCGUAAAGCGCGCGUAGGUGGUUAGGUAAGCGAGAUGUGAAAGCCCCGGGCUCAACCUGGGAAUGGCAUUUCGAACUGCUUGGCUAGAGUGUGGUAGAGGGUAGUGGAAUUUCCUGUGUAGCGGUGAAAUGCGUAGAUAUAGGAAGGAACACCAGUGGCGAAGGCGGCUACCUGGACCAACACUGACACUGAGGUGCGAAAGCGUGGUUAGCAAACAGGAUUAGAUACCCUUGUAGUC
rnacentral:rRNA from 1 species